GACGAACGCUGACGGUGUGCUUUAGACAUGCAAGUCGAACGAGAAAGCCCUUCGGGGUUAGUAAAGUGGCGGAACGGGUGAGUAACACGUGGGCAAUCUGCCCCUCGCAGGGGGACAACCGGAGGAAACUCCGGCUAAUACCCCGUAGGUUCAAAGGGAGGCAUCUCUCUUCGAAGAAAGGUAGCUUCGGCCAUCCGGCGAGGGAUGAGCCCGCGGUGCAUUAGCUAGUUGGUGGGGUAACGCCUACCAAGGCGACGAUGCAUAGCUGGUCUGAGAGGAUGAUCAGCCACACUGGGACUGAGACACGGCCCAGACUCCUACGGGAGGCAGCAGUCGGGAAUCUUGCGCAAUGGGCGAAAGCCUGACGCAGCAACACCGUGUGUGUGAGGAAGGCCC
rnacentral:rRNA from 1 species